AGUUUGAUCCUGGCUCAGGACGAACGCCUGGCGGCGCGCCUAACACAUGCAAGUCGAACGGAGCUACUUUGACAGAUUCCUUCGGGAUGACGUUGAUUUAGCUUAGUGGCGAACGGGUGAGUAACACGUGAGCAACCUACCUUUCAGAGGGGGACAACAGUUGGAAACGACUGCUAAUACCGCAUAAGACCACGCUAUGGCAUCGUAGAGGGGUCAAAGGAGAAAUCCGCUGAAAGAUGGGCUCGCGUCCAAUUAGCUAGAUGGUGAGGUAACGGCUCACCAUGGCGACGAUUGGUAGCCGGACUGAGAGGUUGAACGGCCACAUUGGGACUGAGACACGGCCCAGACUCCUACGGGAGGCAGCAGUGGGGAAUAUUGCACAAUGGAGGAAACUCUGAUGCAGCGACGCCGCGUGAAGGAAGAAGGUCUUCGGACUGUAAACUUCUGAUCUAAGGGAAAAGAAAGUGAUGGUACCUUAGGAGAAAGCCACGGCUAACUACGUGCC
rnacentral:rRNA from 1 species